GAUGAGAACGUAGCGAAAUGUGAUAAGUAGUGUGAAUUGCAGAAUUCAGUGAAUCAUCGAAUCUUUGAACGCACAUUGCGCCCCUUGGUAUUCCAUGGGGCAUGCCUGUUCGAGCGUCAUUUGUACCCUCAAGCUUUGCUUGGUGUUGGGUGUUUGUCCCGCGUUGCGCGUGGACUCGCCUUAAAGCGAUUGGCAGCCGGCAUAUUGGCCUUGGAGCGCAGCACAUUUUGCGCUUCUAGUCAUGAAUGUUGGCGUCCAUUAAGCCUAUACAUUUGCUCUUGACCUCGGAUCAGGUAGGGAUACCCGCUGAACUUAAGCAUAUCAAUAAGCGGAGGA
rnacentral:misc_RNA from 1 species